CACUAAAACCAAAUGAAUCAAAACCCCACUGACUAAGGGUCAAUUCUUGCCAUUUAAUUGAAAGGAAAUAGAGAGUGAAACAUGCUACCUUUGUCAAACAUUCAGCAAAAGAAAGAAAUUACAUCUAGAGAAGAGAGAGAAUAUUCAAUCAUUUUCCUGCCUCCUAGAGGCCUACUACAUUCCCCUUUUGUAUCCGUUAUUUCCCCACUGAAAAUCCUUCAACCGUGUGCUCACUUUUCUCUCCCUCAUGUGCUGAUGUCUGCCAUUAUUAUCUGCAGCAGGUGCUAGGUGCCCUGGGUCUCUAACUGACUCAUCCUUUCCCCUUAUCUCUUAUGCCCAUUUUGCCCCUUCAGUCUGAACGUUCUUCUCACAUGUUACAAUACC
rnacentral:lncRNA from 1 species